rnacentral:rRNA from 1 species
GUAGGUGGCAAGCGUUGUCCGGAAUUAUUGGGCGUAAAGCGCGCGCAGGGCGGUCCUUUAAGUCUGAUGUGAAAGCCCACGGCUCAACCGUGGAGGGUCAUUGGAAACUGGGGGACCUGAGUACAGAAGAGGAAAGCGGAAUUCCAAGUGUAGCGGUGAAAUGCGUAGAGAUUUGGAGGAACACCAGUGGCGAAGGCGGCUUUCUGGUCUGUAACUGACGCUGGGGCGCGAAAGCGUGGGGAGCAAACAGGAUUAGAUACCCUGGUAGUCCACGCCGUAAACGAUGAGUGCUAAGUGUUAGGGGGUUUCCGCCCCUUAGUGCUGCAGCUAACGCAUUAAGCACUCCGCCUGGGGAGUACGGCCGCAAAGGCUG